rnacentral:RNase_P_RNA from 1 species
UGAGUAAGCUGAAUGGUCGCAGGCAUUUAAUAUGCAUGAGGAAAGUCCGGGCUUCAUAGGGCAGGAUGCCAGAUAACGUCUGGUGAAGGCGACUUUAAGGAUAGUGCAACAGAGAUAUACCGCCUAUUUUAUAGGUAAGGGUGGAAAGGCGAGGUAAGAGCUCACCAGCAUCUAGGUAACUAGAUGGCUAUGUAAACCCCAUCCGAAGCAAAACCAAGUUAAGGGACUAAUAUGGCGGCCCGUCAUUCCCAAUAUGGUAGGUUGCUUGAACUCAUCGGUGACGAUGAGUCUAGAUAGAUGACCAUUGUAAACAGAACCCGGCUUAUUGGCUUACUCAAUAA